GAUGUUGGGUUAAGUCCCGCAACGAGCGCAACCCCUGCUGCUAGUUGCCAACGGUUCGGCUGGGCACUCUAGUGGGACUGCCGGUGAUAAACCGGAGGAAGGUGGGGAUGACGUCAAGUCCUCAUGGCCUUUAUGUCCAGGGCGACACACGUGCUACAAUGGCCGGUACAAACCGUCGCUAAAGCGCAAGCUGGAGCCAAUCGGAAAAAGCCGGUCUCAGUUCGGAUUGGGGUCUGCAACUCGACCCCAUGAAGCUGGAAUCGCUAGUAAUCGCGGAUCAGCACGCCGCGGUGAAUACGUUCCCGGGCCUUGUACACACCGCCCGUCACAUCACGAAAGUCGGCUGUACCAGAAGUCGGUGUUCCAACCCGCAAGGGAGGAAGCCGCCUAAGGUAUGGUCGGUAAUUGGGGUGAAGUCGUAACAAGGUAA
rnacentral:rRNA from 1 species